rnacentral:rRNA from 1 species
GACGAACGCUGGCGGCGUGCUUAACACAUGCAAGUCGAACGGAAAGGCCCUGCUUUUGUGGGGUGCUCGAGUGGCGAACGGGUGAGUAACACGUGAGUAACCUGCCCGUGACUUUGGGAUAACUUCAGGAAACUGGGGCUAAUACCGGAUAGGAGCUCCUGCUGCAUGGUGGGGGUUGGAAAGUUUCGGCGGUUGGGGAUGGACUCGCGGCUUAUCAGCUUGUUGGUGGGGUAAUGGCUUACCAAGGCGUUGACGGGUAGCCGGCCUGAGAGGGUGACCGGCGACAUUGGGACUGAGAUACGGCCCAGACUCCGACGGGAGGCAGCAGUGGGGAAUAUUGCACAAUGGGCGGAAGCCUGAUGCAGCAACGCCGCGUGCGGGAUGACGGCCUUCGGGUUGUAAACCGCUUUCGCCUGUGACGAAGCGUGAGUGACGGUAAUGGGUAAAGAAGCACCGGCUAACUACGUG